UACGGAGGGUGCAAGCGUUGUUCGGAAUUACUGGGCGUAAAGGGCGUGUAGGCGGUGUGGUAAGUCAGAUGUGAAAGCCCUGGGCUUAACCCAGGAAGUGCAUUUGAAACUGCCAUGCUUGAGUAUGGGAGAGGAGAGUGGAAUUCCCAGUGUAGAGGUGAAAUUCGUAGAUAUUGGGAGGAACACCCGUGGCGAAGGCGACUCUCUGGACCAAUACUGACGCUGAGGCGCGAAAGCGUGGGGAGCAAACAGG
rnacentral:rRNA from 2 species